rnacentral:rRNA from 1 species
GCUUGUCUCAAAGAUUAAGCCAUGCAUGUCUAAGUAUAAAUAAUUCUAUACUGUGAAACUGCGAAUGGCUCAUUAUAUCAGUUAUAGUUUAUUUGAUAGUCCCUUACUACUUGGAUAACCGUAGUAACUCUAGAGCUAAUACAUGCGCAAAUUCCCGACUGUCGCAAGGCGGAAAGGAUGUAUUUAUUAGAUCCAACCAGCCCGGUUCGCCGGAGUCCCUGGUGAGUCAUAAUAACUGUUCGAAGCGCACGGCCUCGCGCCGGCGCUAGUUCAUUCAAAUUUCUGCCCUAUCAGCUUUCGACGGUAGUGUAGUGGACUACCGUGGCGCUAACGGGUGACGGAGAAUUAGGGUUCGGUUCCGGAGAGGGAGCCUGAGAAACGGCUACCACAUCCAAGGAAGGCAGCAGG